rnacentral:rRNA from 1 species
AUUGAACGCUGGCGGCAGGCCUAACACAUGCAAGUCGAGCGAACUGCGGACGGGUGAGUAAUGUAUGGGGACUGCCCGAUAGAGGGGGAUUACUUCUGGAAACGGUAGCUAAUACCCCAUCCUAUCGGAUAUCCCAUAUGUGAUUAGCUACUAGGUGAGGUAAUGGCUCACCUAGCCGACGAUCCCUAGCUGGUUGGAGAGGUUGAUCAGCCAGACUGGGACUGAGACACGGCCCAGACUCCUACGGAGGCAGCAGUGGGGAAUAUUGCAAAAUGGGCGCAAGCCUGAUGCAGCCAUGCCGCGUGGAUGAAGAAGGCCCUAGGGUUGUAAAGUACUUUCAGUCGGGAGGCGUUACCGACAGAAGAAGCACCGGCUAACUCCGUGCCAGCAGCCGCGGUAAUAC